CUCCCUCUGUCUCUCCCUCUGGAGUGUUUCCAGGUUCACUAUUAUUUCCAUAUGGUGACUAAUGCAUGUCCAGGUGCUCCAGUAAGCUCCAGGGCCGAGCAGUGUGCAGCGUUCAACAAUCAAGAGUUUAUGGGACGCGUGUAUGACUGGGAGCCUUUCACAGAAGUGGGUCUGGAGCAGCAGUGUGAGCUGACCUGUCGACCGGUCGGGUAUCGUUUCUACGUGCGACAGGCGGAGAAGGUACGAGAUGGAACGCCCUGCGCAAAUAACACACCCAACGAUGUGUGUGUGGGAGGACGCUGUCUGAGCGAGGGCUGUGACGGUGUGUUGGGCUCAGGGUUGGUCCGGGAUCGCUGUGGCAUGUGCGGCGGGGGAGACAGCACCUGUGAGAGGGUCACAGGAAGUUUCCUGAACACCAGCGUCCCACUGGGCUACCACAAGAUCCUGAACAUCCCACCCGGAGCCACGGCCAUCAACAUCACUGAGAGACGAGCCAGUCCCAACUAUCUGGCCCUGCGCAGUGGAACGGGUCAGUCAGUGGUGAACGGACGCUGGGCGGUCGAUCCUCCAGGAGAGUAUCAGGCUGGAGGAACCACCUUCCUGUACAGCCGACCCAAAUCUGGGCCUCAAGAGCAGGGAGAAGAGAGAGGAGAAACCCUCAGCGCUCCUGGACCCACAACAGCCCAGCUGCAGCUAUACGCACUAGUUUUUGAGGGCGCUUCUCUCUGUGUUUCAGGUGGCUUCUCAGUGGAAGUGGAGAAUCCUAUUGCUGCUCCUCCUGUGUCGUCUUCCGCCUCCUCACCUCCAUUUUCAUUCCCUUCCUCCUCAUCUUCAUCAUCGUCUUCCUCUGUAUCUGAUCGAUGGCCACAAGAGAGGCCCCGCCCACAGGGCUUAGGACCCAAUCGCAACGCUCGAAUCCCUCCAAGAACGGACCUCCCAUUGGACAAUCAGCCUGCGUUCGUGUGGCGAAGGGGUGCGCUGACAGAAUGCACUGCUACCUGCGGAAAAGGCUCUCAGUACAGAGAGAUUGUGUGUGUGAGUCGACACACAGAACAGGAAGUCCAUGAGAGGAGGUGUGACUCUGCAACCAAACCUGCGCCGGAGGAGGAACCGUGUAACGUUCAUCCCUGUCCACCGUUCUGGGAUAUGGGCGUGUGGUCCGAGUGCAGUGUCUCCUGUGGCUGGGGUGUGCAGCAGCGUCACAUACAGUGCAGGCAGAGUUUUGGGAAUCGCUCCACCAUGGUUCACCCUCAGCGCUGUGCCAGUCUCAGCCGCCCAAACGCCACGCAGCCCUGCCACCCACACGUCUGCUCGCACUGGGAGAUCAGCACCAACUGGAGCACGUGCUCAGUGGAUUGUGGACUGGGAAAGAGAUCCCGGAGCGUGCGCUGUGUCAGUGACCAUGGCAACACUGUGAGUGACAGGGAGUGCAGUGACAGGCUCCGCCCACAGCACACCGAGGACUGUCACAUGGGUCCUUGUGUCACGAACUGGUACUUCACGGACUGGACAAACACUUGCUCUGCGACGUGUGGGCCGGGCGUCCAGCGGAGAGAGGUGGUGUGUUUGAUCGUCGGGAGAGGAGACAGAGAAGUGAAGUGUGCGGGGGAGAAACCGGCUGAUAUGAAGGCCUGUAACGGGGGCCCCUGUACACCCACCCACCUCUGGUACACCGGACCCUGGGGACAGUGUAACGCAGCGUGUGGAAGCGGCACCCAGCGCAGGGACAUCAUCUGCGUGAGGAAGACAGGAAGUGACUUCACCGUGAGCGCUGCCAGUGAGUGCUCACACCUGGAGAAACCGUCUCCCGUGCAGCCGUGUGAGCUGCAGCCCUGCACACCGCAGUGGUUCACCACCGAGUGGAGCGCGUGCUCUCGGUCCUGCGGUGAAGGGGUGCAGACGCGGGAGGUGCGGUGUCUCACAGCUGACAAACAGCACAACACAGCCUGUGAUCUGGACUCAAGACCUGCCCAUGAGCGCUCCUGCAACACCAUACCCUGCAGUCCCUUCGAAGAUGAGAACUGUAAGGACAGAAGACAUAACUGUGUAACGGUGGUCCAGGCUCGACUCUGCGUCUACUCUUACUAUAAGAGCGCCUGCUGUGCGUCCUGCACCCAGAGUGCUCAGCGGGCCAAGAGACACUAACCCUGCACAAGCCACAGAGACAUCAGGUUCAGAGAUUCACCACCAGAGCCAAAACUCAGCCAAUCACAGUUCUCUCAGAGGAAACAGCCAAUCAGACGCCAUUCAGGUUCAAAAGGAAUUCCAAAAGAGAAUUCCAACUUGAGAUCAGGAUCCCUUUAAAGUUUGAAAAUGUUAACGCAUAUGGACUCAUGGGCUCAAAUGAUUGACAGUAGCUCUUUCCCCAUUGGUGAUGAGUGUUUAGUACACUAUCCUGUCAAAUACUCAACCAUUCCAGGUUUAUUUGUGUGACUGAGGUAUGAUAAAACAAGCAGAUUAAAAUUAUAUACUUAUUGCAUAAAACUUGUGAGCAGCGAUACAUUUUUACAUUAAAAAAAAAAAAAAAAACCUUUGGCCUUGUCUCAGUCCUCUAAAUGGCCCAUAAGAUAUCAGUACUUCAGAAAGGACAUACAUAUUCCAGCAUAAGUGCUCAGAUUGUCUAAAAAUAGCACACUUAGUGCUGACAGUCAGUCCUACAGAUCGUAUUUGAGUGCAGUGUGAACAGAAACCUGUAAAUCUACUAUGAAUCUAGUUCAUCAUUAAGCUAUAAAGAGAAGAUUAGCAUCAUGAUCAGCUCUCUUUAUUUGAUUCAGUCUUUAUUUCUUUUGGUUGGUUUUGUCUGAAUGUAUAUCAGUCCUUUUAGUGUUUCAUGUUUUUGUCAUUUUUUGUGUGACACGUUUUUUGUUUUGUUGUUUAUUGUUAUUUCUGGCUGUUUUUAUUGGUUCCCAUAUUGUAAAUUUAAGAAAAAGUUCACCCAGAAAUGUAAAUGUGCUCACCUGUCCAAUAUAAGGAGAAGUUUGUUUCUUCAUCAGGUUUGUAGAAAUGUAGCAUUGCAUCAGUGUGUCAUCAAUGGAUGCUCUGCAGUGAAUGGGUGCCGUCAGAAUGAGAGUCCAAACAGCUGAUAAAAACAUCACAAUAAUCCACAACACUCCAGUCCAUCAGUUAAUGUAUUUUCCUUAAUUUCAAAUAUUUUAAGUUUUAAGCAUAUUUCUCUUCUGGUUCAGAUGAGAUGGACUUUUUCACUGGAGGAAGCAUCAUUAUGAAUCAAUGGUUUGAAGUUAAAAUGUUAUUAGUCUCCAGAUGUUAGUUAAUGUGGUGUUUUUAUCAGUUGUUUGGACUCUCAUUCUGACAGUAUAGUGAUUUCAGCCGAAGUCAGGUACAAUGCAAGACCACUGCCUUGGAUCAAACUGAGAUUAAAAUACUCUCUAGUGUUAGAACAUGUGAGAUUUCCAAUUAACAUUUUAGUAUAUAAAUACAGUCAGUUGUGUGUGUUCGUGUGUGUGUGUGUGUGUGUGUGUGUGUGUGUGUUUCAUGUCUGAGAGUUUAUGUAUAUUAUGUAUAUUAUCACGUACGUUUAGACAGGUAGCAGAUAGUCUUUAGAUGAAUAAAAAGAUGCUUUAUAUAUAAAACA
ensembl:lncRNA